rnacentral:rRNA from 1 species
UUGGAGGGCAAGUCUGGUGCCAGCAGCCGCGGUAAUUCCAGCUCCAAUAGCGUAUGUUAAAGUUGUUGCAGUUAAAAAGCUCGUAGUUGAAUUUCGGGGUUAGUAGGUUGGUCAUGCCUCUGGUAUGUACUGGUCUCACUGAUUCCUCCUUCCUGAUGAACCUUAAUGCCAUUAAUUUGGUGUUUUGGGGAAUUUGGACUGUUACUUUGAAAAAAUUAGAGUGUUUAAAGCAAGCUAACGCUUGAAUACAUUAGCAUGGAAUAAUGAAAUAGGACGUUCGAUCCUAUUUUGUUGGUUUCUAGGAUUGACGUAAUGAUUAAUAGGGAUAGUUGGGGGCAUUAGUAUUCAAUUGUCAGAGGUGAAAUUCUUGGAUUUAUUGAAGACUAACUACUGCGAAAGCAUUUGCCAAGGAUGUUUUCAUUAAUCAAGAACGAAAGUUAGGGGAUCGAAGACGAUCAGAUACCGUCGUGGUCUUAACCAUGAACUAUGCCGACUAGGGAUCGGAUGAUGUUAAUUUUUUAAUGACUCAUUCGGCGCCUUACGGGAAACCAAAGUGUUUGGGUUC